rnacentral:rRNA from 1 species
AUUGAACGCUGGCGGCAUGCUUUACACAUGCAAGUCGAACGGUAGAGGGGCAACCCUUGAGAGUGGCGAACGGGUGAGUAAUGCAUCGGAACGUGCCCAGUAGUGGGGGAUAGCCCGGCGAAAGCCGGAUUAAUACCGCAUGAGACCUGAGGGUGAAAGCGGGGGAUCGCAAGACCUCGCGCUAUUGGAGCGGCCGAUGUCAGAUUAGCUAGUUGGUGGGGUAAAGGCCUACCAAGGCGACGAUCUGUAGCUGGUCUGAGAGGACGACCAGACACACUGGGACUGAGACACGGCCCAGACUCCUACGGGAGGCAGCAGUGGGGAAUUUUGGACAAUGGGCGCAAGCCUGAUCCAGCCAUGCCGCGUGCGGGAAGAAGGCCUUCGGGUUGUAAACCGCUUUUGUCAGGGAAGAAAUCUUCUGGGCUAAUACCCUGGGAGGAUGACGGUGCCUGAAGAAUAAGCACCGGCUAACUACGUGCCAGCCGCCGCGGUAACAC